GUUUUAGUAGUUUAAAUAAAACUUUGGUCUUGUAAAUCAAAAAUAAGGAAUUAUCACCUUCUAAAUCU
rnacentral:tRNA from 1 species